AUUGAACGCUGGCGGCAGGCUUAACACAUGCAAGUCGAACGAUGAAGAUAUAGCUUGCUAUAUCGGAUUAGUGGCGGACGGGUGAGUAACACUUAGGAAUCUACCUUUUAGCGGGGGAUAGCUCGGGGAGACUCGAAUUAAUACCGCAUAAUUUCUACGGAAUAAAGAGGGCUUUUAGCUCUCACUAGAAGAUGAGCCUAAGUAAGAUUAGCUAGUUGGUGGGGUAAAAGCCUACCAAGGCGACGAUCUUUAGCUGGUCUGAGAGGAUGAUCAGCCACACUGGGACUGAGACACGGCCCAGACUCCUACGGGAGGCAGCAGUGGGGAAUAUUGGACAAUGGGGGCAACCCUGAUCCAGCCAUGCCGCGUGUGUGAAGAAGGCCUUUUGGUUGUAAAGCACUUUAAGCAGUGAAGAAGACCUAUUGGUUAAUACCCAAUAGCGAUGACAUUAACUGCAGAAUAAGCACCGGCUAACUCUGUGCCAGCAGCCGCGGUAAUACAGAGGGUGCAAGCGUUAAUCGGAAUUACUGGGCGUAAAGCGAGCGUAGGUGGUUAAAUAAGUCAGAUGUGAAAGCCCUGGGCUCAACCUAGGAACGGCAUCUGAAACUAUUUAACUAGAGUAGGUGAGAGGGAAGUAGAAUUUCAGGUGUAGCGGUGAAAUGCGUAGAGAUCUGAAGGAAUACCGAUGGCGAAGGCAGCUUCCUGGCAUCAUACCGACACUGAGGCUCGAAAGCGUGGGUAGCAAACAGGAUUAGAUACCCUGGUAGUCCACGCCGUAAACGAUGUCUACUAGCCGUUGGGGAACUUGAUUUCUUAGUGGCGCAGCUAACGCAAUAAGUAGACCGCCUGGGGAGUACGGCCGCAAGGUUAAACUCAUGAAUUUGACGGGGGCCGCACA
rnacentral:rRNA from 1 species